rnacentral:rRNA from 1 species
GGUUAAGCGACUAAGCGUACACGGUGGAUGCCCUGGCAGUCAGAGGCGAUGAAGGGCGUGCUAAUCUGCGAUAAGCGCCGGUAAGGUGAUAUGAACCGUUAUAACCGGCGAUACCCGAAUGGGGAAACCCAGUGUGACUCGUCACACUAUCAUUAACUGAAUCCAUAGGUUAAUGAGGCGAACCGGGGGAACUGAAACAUCUAAGUACCCCGAGGAAAAGAAAUCAACCGAGAUUCCCCCAGUAGCGGCGAGCGAACGGGGAGGAGCCCAGAGCCUGAAUCAGCAUGUGUGUUAGUGGAAGCGUCUGGAAAGGCGCGCGAUACAGGGUGACAGCCCCGUACACAAAAGCGCAUGUGCUGUGAGCUCGAUGAGUAGGGCGGGACACGUGGUAUCCUGUCUGAAUAUGGGGGGACCAUCCUCCAAGGCUAAAUACUCCUGACUGACCGAUAGUGAACCAGUACCGUGAGGGAAAGGCGAAAAGAACCCCGGCGAGGGGAGUGAAAAAGAACCUGAAACCGUGUACGUACAAGCAGUGGGAGCCCCACCACCAAAGCAUUCUCUGGUGUUGAAGGCCCUGCAAAGCAGCAUCGCGGUGGCGGAGCGUCGUUUGCGACGCCCAACACACAAAACAAGCGGUGAGUGCUUUGGGGUGGGGUGACUGCGUACCUUUUGUAUAAUGGGUCAGCGACUUAUAUUCUGUAGCAAGGUUAACCGAAUAGGGGAGCCGGAGGGAAACCGAGUCUUAAUUGGGCGUUAAGUUGCAGGGUAUAGACCCGAAACCCGGUGAUCUAGCCAUGGGCAGGUUGAAGGUUGGGUAACACUAACUGGAGGACCGAACCGACUAAUGUUGAAAAAUUAGCGGAUGACCUGUGGCUGGGGGUGAAAGGCCAAUCAAACCGGGAGAUAGCUGGUUCUCCCCGAAAGCUAUUUAGGUAGCGCCUCGUGAAUUCAUCUCCGGGGGUAGAGCACUGUUUCGGCUAGGGGGCCAUCCCGGCUUACCAACCCGAUGCAAACUGCGAAUACCGGAGAAUGUUAUCACGGGAGACACACGGCGGGUGCUAACGUCCGUCGUGAAGAGGGAAACAACCCAGACCGCCAG